UCACAUUUUGCUCACCAAGAAUGUUUCCGACACGACCAAUCAUGCCGGGCUGAUCCACCUGUCGGCACAGGAUCAGAUUCCCUUGUAAGCUCACAUCCACAUCGAAAGACCCCACACAUGUCAGGUGAGGUUCACCAAACUUCACUUUUCCAUCUAUGCUGAUAUGACCACCCUCUGAUAUUGCACUAGCAAAUUUGGAGUUCACACUUGAGAUCUGUACCUGGAUCGAAUCAACAGGCAGCUCAGGAGAUGAAUCAACAACCACUCUUUCCUCACUUAUGCGAAGCCCUUUCUGCUUUGCUAUGAAAUCUGCAUUCACAAGGUUCACAAUGGUGUUUGAUAUUGGCUCAAUGAUGCCCUUU
rnacentral:lncRNA from 1 species